rnacentral:rRNA from 1 species
UACAGAGGUCUCAAGCGUUGUUCGGAUUCAUUGGGGCGUAAAAGGGUGCGUAGGCGGCGCGGUAAGUCGGGUGUGAAAAUCUCGGAGCUUAACUCCGAAAACUGCAUUCGAUACUGCCGUGCUUGAGGACUGGAGAGGAGACUGGAAUUUUACGGUGUAGCGGUGAAAAUGCGUAGAUAUCGUUAAGGAAAGACCAGUGG